CGAAACUUGAGUGGUAAAAUAUCAUUUAUUCCGCCACACACCCAUAUGCCAAAUUGCAUUGACAGAGAACGAGAGAAAAAAAAAUCCUAAUCCACCCUCGCCGCGAGAUCGCCGGUCGCUCCCAUGUCGACUCCAGCCGCCGCUGCGAAGCAAUACUUUUGCUACCAAUGCAACCGCACCGUCCUCAUCGCGGCCUCCGCCGUCGCCGCCGGGGAGCUCUCGUGCCCCGAGUGCCACGGCAACUUCCUCGAGGAGGUCACCAUCCCUGCCCCAACCUUCAUCCAGCUCCCUUUCCCUUUUGCUUCCACCACGAUCCCUACCGCCAGUACCGCCCCGCGCCCCGCCCCAGCAGCCGGCACCGGCAGGCCCCCUUCCUUCUCGUCCUCCUCCGCUGCGACCUCUCGGUCCGAGCCCCGCUACAUCUCCUCCAUCCUCAACUCCUUCGUCGGACCCGGCGAACAACCCAACAGGAUCAGCGGCUCCAGCAUACGUUUCGCCCCUGGCACGGCCACCCACAGGAACGAGCCCGAGCCCUUCGACCCGGUAAUGUUCUUCCAGAAUUACAUCCAAAGCCUCGUGGAGGGAGGCGCCAACAUCCAGGUCCUCUUCGACGAUGCCAGCGCGAGCCUCGGCUCCGGACCCGGCCUAGGGCGCCUCGGCGGGGCAAGCUUCGGGGAUUACUUCGUCGGCCCAGGCUUGGAACAACUCAUCGAGCAGCUCGCCGAGAACGACCCCAACCGCUAUGGCACGCCGCCGGCUGCCAAGUCGGCCCUCUCCUCGCUCCCCGACGUCGUCGUGACUCACACCAUGGUCGCAGCUGCGGAGGGCGCUGAGUGCGCCGUCUGCAAGGAGGAUUUCUCUCCUGGAGAGGUGGCCAAGCAGAUGCCCUGUAACCACAUCUACCACACCGACUGCAUCAUGCCGUGGCUUGAGCUUCACAACUCGUGCCCCAUCUGUCGCUUUGAGCUUCCCACUGACGAUCCUGAUUAUGAGGUGCGGAAGGGCUCUAAUUCUCAGCAGGCUGUUGGUAUUGCUGCUGCUGCAUCAGGGAGCUCUACUGCUGCUGAGGGACAAAUGGAGAGGCAGGAGAAUCCAAGGGUGGUUGAGAGGAGGUUCAAUGUGUCGCUGCCAUGGCCAUUCAGUGGAUUGGGAGGGCAAACAUCGCAGCAGGACGGGAACAGUGGAGGCAGUGGUAGCAACUCACAAGGCAGUGGCUCGCAGGAUGGUGGCCCACCCAGCAGCAAGAAUUGAUAAAAAAUCAGCUGGAGGCUACUUGCUGCACGAAGAAAGAGAAGAGGGCAAGUGAGGUUCACCUUUUGGCGAUCUGUUAAGAAGUCUGCAGUAUAUACGUGUCACCAUGACUAUACACCUACAGGAAUUUACAGUCUCUGUUUGUUACGAAACAAUCGUUUGUUUUUCAUGUAGACACGGCGCAAAAACUGCCACUGCAGCAGAAUUUGCGCGCUGAGAGAGUUGGGACUUCAUGUGUAGAUUUGUUGAUUGAUCCUGGUCCAUGAAAUGGUAAACCCCAACUCCAUCUUUUAACCUGUA